rnacentral:rRNA from 1 species
UCAUUCGGAUCGGAGUCUGCAACCCGACUCCGUGAAGCUGGAUUCGCUGUAAUCGCGCAUCAGCCAUGGCGCGGUGAAUACGUUCCCGGGCCUUGUACACACCGCCCGUCAAGCCAUGGGAGCCGGGGGUGCUUGAAGUGCGUCGCCGCAAGGCGCGCCCUAGAGCAAAACCGGUGACUGGGGCUAAGUCGUAACAAGGUACC